AUAAAGAAGAGGAAUGUUAUACUAACAUCUUCAGCUACAUCAAGAAAGAAUUUUCAACAUUCACAUCACAGUCAUACAUGUCAGAUUUCGAGAAAGGCCUUCACAAUGCAAUCGAACGUACUUUUCCUGGAAUAAUGCCAAGGCACUGUUACUUUCACUAUGCGCAAGCCCUGUUUCGCAAGGCAAAAAAAUUCGGGCUAAUAUAAAAAAAAAAAAAAAAACAAAAGAAUUGUACCAGAAAUUUUUAUAGUUCUCCAUUUAAUUAAGUUAUUGGCACUGUUACCUGCCCAAUUGAUAAUGGAAGUAUAUAAUCUAGUGAAAAAAAAGCUAAAGAAACACACGGGGGAACUUUCAAUAAAUUUUUUUCAUAUUUUGAAAGUUAUUGGCUUUUUAAAAUGAAACCUGAAAGCUUUACUGUUUAUGGCAUGUUAAGUGACAGAACCAACAACCAUCAGGAAUCUUUUCAUCGAAAUAUAAAUAAGUUAGUAGCGGCACAUUCACAUACCAACGUUUUCAUUAAUGGAUUAAAAAAAGUUUUUGAAAAAUCACGUUGAAUUAAGGCGCAAAUAGAAAUUGGGACGUAUUGCACUC